rnacentral:rRNA from 1 species
AUUGAACGCUGGCGGCAUGCCUUACACAUGCAAGUCGAACGGCAGCGGACCUUCGGGUGCCGGCGAGUGGCGAACGGGUGAGUAAUAUAUCGGAACGUACCUUUCAGUGGGGGAUAACGUAGCGAAAGUUACGCUAAUACCGCAUAUUCUGUGAGCAGGAAAGCAGGGGAUCGCAAGACCUUGCGCUGAUUGAGCGGCCGAUAUCAGAUUAGCUAGUUGGUGAGGUAAAGGCUCACCAAGGCGACGAUCUGUAGCGGGUCUGAGAGGAUGAUCCGCCACACUGGAACUGAGACACGGUCCAGACUCCUACGGGAGGCAGCAGUGGGGAAUUUUGGACAAUGGGCGCAAGCCUGAUCCAGCCAUGCCGCGUGGGUGAUGAAGGCCCUCGGGUUGUAAAGCCCUGUCGGGGGGGACGAAUACUGACGGUACCCUCCAAGAAAGCACCGGCUAACUCCGUGCAGCAGCCGCGGUAAUGUGUGACUG